CCUUGUACACACUGCCCGUCAAGCCAUGAAAGCUGUCUGUACCCGAAGUCAUUUUAGCUAACCUGUUAAAGGGGGCGGGUGCCUAAGGUAUGGGGAGUGAUUGGGGUU
rnacentral:rRNA from 1 species